GAGAAAAAGGAGAGAAAGUUCUUGGUUCAUAAAUCUUCAAAGCUUGAUUUCUUCUGAACUAAAACUCAAAUCAAAACACCGAUUUCACCAAAAUUAUCCUCUCUUCUUCCUCUACAUAACCAUGUGAAUUAUCAAGGCUGGAAAUAAGGAGGAAAAAGUGCUUAAGGACCACCUGAAAGUUUGAUUGAAUUAGGAGCAGCAAAACCAGCUUUCAAGAACCGGCAAUUCCUUAAAUAUGCGGUGAAGGAUAAACUGAUGGAGGUGUAAAACACAUAAAAGAGAUGACCUUCCUUGCACAGCUUAACCUGUCCCAGAAUUACAACUUGACGGAUAAAACUUUGGAAUUGCUAUCUGGGAUGAAUGCAUUGAGGUCACUUAAUAUUUCAAAUACAGGAGCUACCAGUGAAAAUGCUACCGUUUCUUCUUUAAGUCCAAGAGUUUUGAGAAUUAGGAUGCUGUUUACUUUGAUUUCUGUCAUUGGAAGAUCAGUAAAAGCCACAGCCACCUUUUGGCCACAAUAGACAUAGUCCAAUUAGUAAAAUAGUCCAGGUGUUUAUUUUAGUAAGACGGAUUGAGAGCUCAAUAACAAGUUGCAUAGGG